UACGUAGGGACCAAGCGUUGUCCGGAUUCAUUGGGCGUAAAGAGCGUGUAGGCGGCCAUUUAAGUCCUGCGUGAAAUCUCGGGGCUCAACCCCGAGCGGUCGUGGGAAACUGGAUGGCUAGAGUGCGGGAGAGGAGAGUGGAAUUCCUGGUGUAGCGGUGGAAUGCGCAGAUAUCAGGAAGAACACCCGUGGCGAAGGCGGCUCUCUGGAACGCAACUGACGCUGAGACGCGAAAGCGUGGGGAGCAAACAGG
rnacentral:rRNA from 2 species